rnacentral:lncRNA from 1 species
CUAGCCAUACGGAGCUUUGAGAUGUGUAUUGGCUGCAGUAUGUUCAUUGUAGGAAUUAAAUUACAUCAAGAUAGGAUCUAUCGAUCUUAGUAGAGGGAGAGUAGUCCUAUGUAAAUUAUGAGAUUGAGUCCUUAAGACUAUGACCAUGGCAAUGUGAAAGAUAAAAAAAAGUUUCUAUUGGAUUUCACAUCGGAUUCGAAUCGAUCGAUUCUGAUAUAUGACAAAUAUGAGGUUUAACGAGUUUAUCUUGAUCUCGAUUCUGUCAGGACUCACAAUAGAAAAACUGAAUCAUACAAUAACUGCACCUAGA